rnacentral:rRNA from 1 species
UACGUAGGGUGCGAGCGUUAAUCGGAAUUACUGGGCGUAAAGCGUGCGCAGGCGGCCUCUUAAGACAGGUGUGAAAUCCCCGGGCUUAACCUGGGAAUGGCGCUUGUGACUGGGGGGCUUGGAGUGCGGAAGAGGGAGAUGGAAUUCCUGGUGUAGCAGUGAAAUGCGUAGAGAUCAGGAGGAACACCGAUGGCGAAGGCAGUCUCCUGGGCCAGCACUGACGCUCAUGCACGAAAGCGUGGGGAGCAAACAGGAUUAGAAACCCCCGUAGUCC